rnacentral:lncRNA from 1 species
CAGCAACAGCAAAUUUCAGGCCCAUGGUAGUCCCAAGUACCAUAAUUUCCAGAACUGCAUUGAUCUGAUUCCCUUUUAGACAGGGAUAUGUAGGAAACCUUUGAAGCAAAGGUUCGGUUAAUCUUUUUCAAAAAAAAAUGCUUCGCACGGAGUAUUCCAACGGGCAAAAAGUCGCUCGUAUCCGCUCACUUUAUCUUUGCACGAAAACUCUUCGUGUUUCCGGACGAAGAGGGGUAGCUGUGAGCACGUGAUUUUUGCCCUAUAUGAGAAUUACUCCAAAAAAAUUCAAAAUAAAAUAAUUUCGUUUGUUUGCAAUUGUUGUGAAUUUUCUGUAUUGUUUGGAUUUGUUCGUGCAUGUUGUUACGCCUCCUUUUUCACUAUACACCCCCGCAAAGGGUCGUAAAGGAGUUUUUCCACUUAAAGGACAAUCAGAACGGGAUUUGGUUAUUAUUUAUUUAGAGUCGCCACUUGGGAGAUUAAUUGUGUCCCAAGUCACCGAUUUGAAUCCCAACCGAGAAAGAUUAUGACUCUGUUAACAGUCCGCGAACCAGAAAUCCGGAUAAGGAAUUCUGUUAACUCGGGAGAAGGUGUUAGGUUUUAUCCCGAACCGAGGAAAAAUAUGACUCUGUUAACAGUCCGUGAACCAGAAAUCUGAGUAAGGAAUUCUGUUAACCCGAGAGAAGGUGUUAGGUACGCCCGGGUUCCGUGGUUCUAGCACGGUCGCUUAACUAUUGCAUUUGAUUUUAUCUGAUUUUAAUACAUGCUAGUUUAUGUGCCUUUUAUUUAUAAACCGUUUUUACCAUUAUUUAUUUAAAAGACUUGCGACAUCGUGAAAACGUAUUUCUAGUCACGUCACCACCAGUGUACACGUGAUCGUCGACACGUUUCGACUUCGUCGAGAUUUGGAUUUGGGUCGCAUCAAUGCACACCCGAGUUUAAGAAAGUAAUUUAAUUAAAACGCGCCUAAAGAUUCUAGCGCAAUAUUAUUUUGGGAAAGGCCGCGAAAUUCGCUAAACGGCCCUCCCGAAUUCUACGUAAUUUUAUUUAUCCAUUAUUGAGGGCUCCGCAUUUAUAUUUUUAUUUGGUGAGGCACACCUCUAAUUCUAAGGAUAAGCAAAAUUAAUAGCUAACUAAUGGAUUUUAAAACGAAACCGAAAAUGAUAGAAUAAUGAACGCAAAGAAAUGGAAACACAUUCACGAAACUUCAACGCCACACUAUCGUAACUAACCUUCUUUCCAAAUUGUUAAACAAACAGAAGCAAAUUAAUUACUCAAGAUCCCAUGUCCAACCUCAGAUAACUAAUUGUGAGCUCAUUUACCAAGUUACCUUGUUUAAGAUACAAAUUCUAUUCAAAAUAAAUUUCACGCAGAAGAAGAAAAUUACCAAAUGUUUAAUCACUAAUAGGAUAAUACAAAAACAAAGGUAAUUAAGGAAUCAGACCAUUUGUGAAGUCAGAAUCGAUUCUCCAAUUGAUUGAAUACAGAAAACUCAUUGAAUAGAGCUGUAUAAUGAGACAAAUGCCGAACAAGAGCUUCGAGCUAACGAAUCCAACAAACCGAACACAGCGGCGGCCAAAAUGAGCAUCGAGCAAGCUCAAACAACAGGAACCUUCAGCCGAAGAGACUCCUACGUCGACCUCGGCGAACUCGAAACUCGCCGACACCGAAAACUCGGAUCUCAACACAAACGAUCGGAGCUUCAGACGGAUUUAACCAAACGAGCUCCAAAAAUAGACUCUACCUCAAACGACAAACUCUUCUUCUUCUUUUUUCAAUCCGGAUCCCUACUUUACAAUUGUUAUUGACAGCAUAAGUGUGUGUGAAUAAGAACGAAUGCAAUCCUUCUGUUGGGAAUUCAAUGUAGAAAUCGUCAGUUUUUUUUUUUUUUUUUGGGUUUUUUUCUGUUGGGAAUUCAAUGUAGAAAUCGUCAGUUUUUUUUUUUUUUUUUGCGUUUUUGCUUUUCUAUUUCGUCCGUGACUUUUGUUUUUAUUUUUUUUGUGUAUUUUUUUUGUU